rnacentral:ncRNA from 2 species
AUCACUUGAGCUUCGAAUGGUUCCAGAAAACCAGUCCGGUUUUCAGGAUCAAAAGGGAAUGCGGAGGGAUGGACCCAAUCAGGGCAUCUUUAUCGCAGCCGACCCCGCGACUGUAGAGCGGCGAGGCAAAUGUCACCGGCCCCGGAGGCCGGGCGUGCGGCAAGACAAUGGUGUCGACCUGCACUGCUCCAGUCCGGACCGGACAAGCCACUGACGUGGCGGCAUGAUCAACAGGCGCGGACGCCUCUAUAUCUACGAAUCGUCCCGUUUUCAUGACCGCAGGACACGUUGGGAAGGCCGGCAUUUGCCGAUGUCGACGGCAACGUCGACACGACCCGCGAGCCAGGAGACCUGCCAUUCGCACCGGUUGAGA